ACCGUCCUUGUCUUGGGGUGAGAGAACUACUCAAUGAGCGCUUGGUUAGAGUAGUCCUGCGGACACCAGAACAACGCAUUAGCACCACCUGAACUCUUGUUCAGGUUCUGGUGCAAUUUUUAGAAAC
ensembl:snRNA U4atac minor spliceosomal RNA